rnacentral:rRNA from 1 species
AUGAACGCUGGCGGCGUGCCUAACACAUGCAAGUCGAACGGGAUCCACUUUCGAGUGGUGAGAGUGGCGCACGGGUGAGUAACACGUAGCUUAUCUGCCCCAGACUCCGGGAUAACGGAUCGAAAGGUCUGCUAAUACCGGAUAAGCUCACGGUGACCAGAAAACUGUGAGAAAAGCUCCGACGGUCUGGGAGGAGGCUGCGGCCCAUCAGCUAGCUGGCGAGGGGUAACGGCUCACCAGGGCGACGACGGGUAGGGGACCUGAGAGGGUGAACCCCCACACUGGAACUGAGACACGGUCCAGACUCCUACGGGAGGCCAGCAGUGAGGAAUAUUGCUCAAUGGGCGCAAGCCUGAAGCAGCGACGCCGCGUGGGCGAUGAAGGUUUUCGGAUCGUAAAGCCCUUUUCUCUGGGACGAGACAGGACGGUACCAGAGGAAAAAGUGUCGGCUAACUACGUGCCAGCAGCCGCGGUUAAAACGUAGGACGCAAGCGUUAUCCGGAAUUACUGGGCGUAAAGCGCGUGUAGGCGGAUGAUUAAGUUACUGGUGAAAGCACCGGGCUAAGCUCGGUGAGGUCCGGUAAGACUGGUCAUCUGGAGGGGGUCAGAGGGGUGCGGAAUUCCGGGUGUAGUGGGUGAAAUGCGUAGAGAUCCGGAGGAACACCAGAGGCGAAGGCGGCACCCUGGGACCAACCUGACGCUGAGACGCGAAAGCAUGGGGAGCGAACGGGAUUAGAGACCCCGGUAGUCCAUGCCGUAAACGAUGUAGACUAGAUGUGCGGACCACUACGGUGGAAUGCGUUGUCGCAGCUAACGCGAUAAGUCUACCGCCUGGGGAGUACGGCCGCAAGGCUAAAACUCAAGGAAUUGACGGGGGCCCGCACAAGCAGCGGAGCGUGUGGUUUAAUUCGAGGUUACACGAAGAACCUUACCUGGGUUUGACAUCCCGCGAACGACCGUGAAAGCGGAAGGUCCUUCGGGACGCGGAGACAGGUGCUGCAUGGCUGUCGUCAGCUCGUGUCGUGAGAUGUUCGGUUAAGUCCGAAAACGAGCGCAACCCUCGGUGCGUGUUACAGGUGUCACGCAUAACUGCCGGCGGCAAGCCGGAGGAAGGUGGGGAUGAUGUCAAGUCAGCAUGGCCUUUAUAUCCAGGGCUACACACACGCUACAAUGGACGGUACAGUGGGUCGCGAAGCCGCGAGGUGGAGCCAAUCCUAAAAAGCCGUUCGUAGUUCGGAUUGUAGGCUGCAACUCGCCUGCAUGAAGCUGGAGUUGCUAGUAACCGUGUAUCAGCAUGACACGGUGAAUACGUUCCCGGGCCUUGUACACACCGCCCGUCACGUCAUGAGAGUUGGUCACGCCUGAAGUCGGGAAGGUAACCGCAAGGAACCUACUGCCGAAGGCAGGGCUGAUGAUUGGGACG